rnacentral:rRNA from 1 species
UACAGAGGGGGCAAGCGUUAUUCGGAAUUAUUGGGCGUAAAGGGCGCAUAGGCGGCCUGGCAAGUGGAAGGUGAAAUCCCUCGGCUUAACCGAGGAACUGCCCUCCAAACUGCUUGGCUUGAGACCGGGAGAGGUGAGUGGAAUUCCCAGUGUAGCGGUGAAAUGCGUAGAUAUUGGGAGGAACACCAGUGGCGAAGGCGGCUCACUGGACCGGUACUGACGCUGAGGCGCGAAAGCGUGGGGAGCAAACAGG